rnacentral:lncRNA from 1 species
CUUCACGGUACCCGUGGGUAGAAGAUCGCAUAGGAUCAAUCGUCUGGCUCCCCAUGGCGAUAGAUCACGCGUCAAGAAAUCCAACAUGGCAGAUUUGUCCAUAACAGUUCUUUCUCCUACUGGAAUGAUAUUCAAAAUAAUCUUGGAAUUCCAUCAUUAUUUGAAGAUAUUGCAAGUUCUAGGCAUAUUUGAUAAUAUUAAGAAAUAUUUCUUAAGAAUAUCUGAUAAUAAACAUACGUUUAUCAUCGGCUAUGAAAGAACUAACGAAAUAUCAUCUGGUAAUAAAAGAAAAGAAUUCCGCUAUAUUUAAUGGAUUAAAGAAUUAUUCAAAAUAUCUCACAAAAACUUACUUGGACAAUGAUACGUAGCCCACUUCAAUGCCAUCACAUGCUUCAUCGUCUGAUAUUCAUCAGACGAGCCGACGAAGAAGAGGAGCGCCACCUCCGGAGAUUGCUGGCCCCAUGUCUCUCUGACCACGUUUCUCUUAACAAAGUUUUCG